rnacentral:rRNA from 1 species
AUUGAACGCUGGCGGCAGGCCUAACACAUGCAAGUCGAACGGUAGCACAGAGGAGCUUGCUCCUUGGGUGACGAGUGGCAGACGGGUGAGUAAUGUCUGGGAAACUGCCCGAUGGAGGGGGAUAACUACUGGAAACGGUAGCUAAUACCGCAUAACGUCGCAAGACCAAAGAGGGGGACCUUCGGGCCUCUUGCCAUCGGAUGUGCCCAGAUGGGAUUAGCUAGUAGGUGGGGUAACGGCUCACCUAGGCGACGAUCCCUAGCUGGUCUGAGAGGAUGACCAGCCACACUGGAACUGAGACACGGUCCAGACUCCUACGGGAGGCAGCAGUGGGGAAUAUUGCACAAUGGGCGCAAGCCUGAUGCAGCCAUGCCGCGUGUAUGAAGAAGGCCUUCGGGUUGUAAAGUACUUUCAGCGAGGAGGAAGGCGUUGUGGUUAAUAACCGCAGCGAUUGACGUUACUCGCAGAAGAAGCACCGGCUAACUCCGUGCCAGCAGCCGCGGUAAAAGGG